UAUUUUGACUAUACGAAGGUAUUGAAAUAAGGCUUUAAAUGAGUGCUAAGAGAAUGGUUAUACAAUUAUAAGCUUUCUUUUUUUUAAAAAUUUGAAUUUAAUAUUUUUGUGAAGAAGCAAUAAUGAAAAUUAGGGACAAGAAGACCCUAUGAAUUUUAAUUAAGUUAGUUUUAAAUAAAAGAAAUAAUUUAAUUUAAUUGGGGCGAUGGAAAAAGAAUUAGUAUCUUUUUAGAAAAAAAUUUGUUCCGAUAUUAUCGAUUUUAUGAAAAAAAUACUCUAGGGAUAACAGCGUAAUAAUUUUGGAUAGUUCUUAUAGAUAAAAUAGUUUGCGACCUCGAUGUUGGAUUAGGAUUCUUUUUUGGUGAAGAAAUUAAUGAAAGAAGUUUGUUCAACUUUUAAAAUCC
rnacentral:rRNA from 1 species